UACGUAGGGGGCAAGCGUUGUCCGGAAUCAUUGGGCGUAAAGAGCGUGUAGGCGGCUUGGUAAGUCCGCUGUGAAAGUCCAGGGCUCAACCCUGGAAUGCCGGUGGAAACUGUCAAGCUUGAGUCCGGAAGAGGCGAGUGGAAUUCCUGGUGUAGCGGUGAAAUGCGCAGAUAUCAGGAGGAACACCAAUGGCGAAGGCAGCUCGCUGGGACGGUACUGACGCUGAGACGCGAAAGCGUGGGGAGCGAACCGG
rnacentral:rRNA from 1 species